GUUAAACUCCGACAAAGAUAAGAUUUUUUAUUUCCGCGAAACCAAAUAUUUAUUUCCCGAAACAUGCUGUAACAAGUUAUCAUAAAUUAGGAGGAUUCUGGAAAGUAAAUAUAUCAAACCACAAAUAUGGCUGGUAUUUUAGAUGCUUUUAGAGGACCUGGACCAUCAACACAUGUAGCAAGCAGGUAUCCACAUCCAGUUUGGGCAAAAGUAGAAGAAGAAAAGGUAUACGUAACUGAACAUAAUGAAGACCUACACACUGGUGUAAAUAUACCCGGUCAGGUUGGAUUAGAUGCAGGAAGAAAACAGAUAAGCAAAUAUCAGUGGGAUAAAAUUAAAGUUGGUUUCACGAGGAUUCUUCCAAAUAACGUUUUUAGAUUCGAUGUAGGGAAGGGAAAACUCUAUGUGUAUCUUACAGUUGUUGUGGAAGAAGGAGACGAAGAACUUCUCAUAUGUGAAGCCGUCCAGAAGAGAGCUGACUAUAGCGUAAUCAUUUCCAAAGAUGGUCAAGUAGUUGACUCGGUUUACGGCAAAAUUUGGGAAGAGGUUCAACACUGACGUUCUCUAUGCUCUUUGCUUCAUAAUCUGUAUAUUUUUUAUAACAAAUACAUUGAUAAUCUUAUACUGAAAACUCUGUAGUGCACAAUUAUAUUCAUACAAAGUUAGAUAGCAGUUUAUAAUAAUUGUGACGAUUUCUUUUACCCAAACGCUUGAUUUUGAAUUUAAUAGCGAAACUCAAUCUACCAUGAUUGAAAAAUAUAUCAUGUAAAUAAUUUUAAAAGCGUUUAUCUAUUAUAAAAAUAUAACAAUGUAUUUAAUGUAACAUUUAAUAUACGGACAGGAUAUUUUGACUAGAAACUAGAAAUGUAAUAUCAGGUUGCUAGGGAACAAAAGUGACAUCAUCGUCCACUUUUUAAAGAUACUCUAUAAGUUA